rnacentral:rRNA from 1 species
UGAGGAAUAUUGGUCAAUGGGCGGAAGCCUGAACCAGCCAUCCCGCGUGCAGGAAGACGGCCCUAUGGGUUGUAAACUGCUUUUCCAGGGGGAGAAACUUUCCGAUGAAUCGGGAUAUGACGGUACCCUGGGAAUAAGCAUCGGCUAACUCCGUGCCAGCAGCCGCGGUAAUACGGAGGAUGCGAGCGUUAUCCGGAUUUAUUGGGUUUAAAGGGUGCGUAGGCGGAUCGAUAAGUCAGUGGUGAAAACCUGCAGCUUAACUAUAGAAUUCCCUUUAAAGUGUUUGGCUUUGGUUAUGGUUAGGUUAGGCGAAAUGUGUAAUUAGGAGUAGAAUUGCUAGAUAUUACACAGAACACCGAUUGCGAAGGCAGCUUACU